AUACUCUGGUUUCUCUUCAAAUCGAAUAAAUCUUUCGCCUUUUUACUAAAGAUUUCCGUGGAGAGGAACGACCAUGAGUUUCAUUGAAUUUUUUGAGGCUUGGUUCACGCCAGGCU
ensembl:snRNA U5 U5 spliceosomal RNA